CAUUCUGUUUGAUACCAAAAAUUCAAACAAUGGUCCUGUCACCUUAGGUCGAUCGGUACCUCAGAUUAAAUACAAGCGAAGAUAUUCUUUGUUUGGAUUAUUAAUUUCAGUUCCUAAACUUGUCUAGGUCACACCCAGCAAGGGUUACUCCUGGGCCAUUAGCUCAGGUGGUUAGAGCGCACCCCUGAUAAGGGUGAGGUCCCUGGUUCAAGUCCAGGAUGGCCCAUUCGGUGUUGGGGGUAUAGCUCAGUUGGUAGAGCGCCUGCUUUGCAAGCAGGAUGUCAGCGGUUCGAGUCCGCUUACCUCCACUGAUCACCUCCUAAUAGCGAACCAAGGAGAAAUAAUUGGUAGUUGUGAUCUUGACGUUGUUCGUCUGAUUGAAUCUAGCUUCUUGUCAUUCCAAAUUUAUAAAUUAAUUAGGUUGACAUGAUGCUGGGCUCACUGAAGUCAAAUUUGUCUUCAGAGAAUUCAGUAGAACCUUGACAACUGCAUAGGUGAGUCUGGAAAAAAACAAAGCAUCUCAUGGAUGAUUUUUCCUGAAAAUAGCUAAUCCCCUUCUUAGGUAUUAGUUAUUUUUGUAUGGGAAUAUUCCAAUUCUUGAGUAAGAAAAAGACUCUAAACAUUCUUUUAUUGCUAUUUGCAGUAAGAG
rnacentral:tRNA from 1 species